GUCGAACGAUGAAGCCCUUCGGGGUGGAUUAGUGGCGAACGGGUGAGUAACACGUGGGCAAUCUGCCCUGCACUCUGGGACAAGCCCUGGAAACGGGGUCUAAUACCGGAUAUGACCGUCUUGGGCAUCCUUGACGGUGUAAAGCUCCGGCGGUGCAGGAUGAGCCCGCGGCCUAUCAGCUUGUUGGUGAGGUAAUGGCUCACCAAGGCGACGACGGGUAGCCGGCCUGAGAGGGCGACCGGCCACACUGGGACUGAGACACGGCCCAGACUCCUACGGGAGGCAGCAGUGGGGAAUAUUGCACAAUGGGCGAAAGCCUGAUGCAGCGACGCCGCGUGAGGGAUGACGGCCUUCGGGUUGUAAACCUCUUUCAGCAGGGAAGAAGCGAAAGUGACGGUACCUGCAGAAGAAGCGCCGGCUAACUACGUGCCAGCAGCCGCGGUAAUACGUAGGGCGCAAGCGUUGUCCGGAAUUAUUGGGCGUAAAGAGCUCGUAGGCGGCUUGUCGCGUCGGUUGUGAAAGCCCGGGGCUUAACCCCGGGUCUGCAGUCGAUACGGGCAGGCUAGAGUUCGGUAGGGGAGAUCGGAAUUCCUGGUGUAGCGGUGAAAUGCGCAGAUAUCAGGAGGAACACCGGUGGCGAAGGCGGAUCUCUGGGCCGAUACUGACGCUGAGGAGCGAAAGCGUGGGGAGCGAACAGGAUUAGAUACCCUGGUAGUCCACGCCGUAAACGGUGGGCACUAGGUGUGGGCAACAUUCCACGUUGUCCGUGCCGCAGCUAACGCAUUAAGUGCCCCGCCUGGGGAGUACGGCCGCAAGGCUA
rnacentral:rRNA from 1 species